rnacentral:lncRNA from 1 species
AGACUUGUAAAACACAGCUCAUAUGCUUCUUACUUCUUAGGCCAACAUGUUACAUGUGGUUCAAUAAAUCAUCAUAAUGCAGCAAGUCCUUCACCCACUUAAUGUCCAUAUAUAUAUAUAUGAUUCAUCUAGCGACAAAACAAUAAUACAUUUUGUUAAUUCAAUACAAUAAAUGAACAAUGUGUCCAAGUGAGAUACAUUUAAAAAUGUAUGUUAAGAGUUCUUCGUUAGAGAUGCUUUAAUCAAAUUAUCAAUAUACCAAUUGUUAA